rnacentral:rRNA from 1 species
GCUGGCGGCAGGCUUAACACAUGCAAGUCGAGCGGUAGCAGAUCUAGCUUGCUAGAUGCUGACGAGCGGCGGACGGGUGAGUAACGCGUAGGAACCUGCCCAGUAGUGGGGGAUAGCCCGGGGAAACUCGGAUUAAUACCGCAUACGCUCUACGGAGGGAAAGAGGGGCUUCGGCUCUCGCUAUUGGAUGGGCCUGCGUGAGAUUAGCUAGUUGGUGAGGUAAUGGCUCACCAAGGCGACGAUCUCUAGCUGGUCUGAGAGGAUGAUCAGCCACACUGGGACUGAGACACGGCCCAGACUCCUACGGGAGGCAGCAGUGGGGAAUAUUGCACAAUGGGCGCAAGCCUGAUGCGGCCAUGCCGCGUGUGUGAAGAAGGCUUUCGGGUUGUAAAGCACUUUCAGUGGGGAGGAAGGCCUCGUAGUUAAUAGCUGCGAGGAUUGACGUUACCCACAGAAGAAGCACCGGCUAACUCCGUG